CAUGCUGAAAACAUAAAUAUAGCCGAGAUAUCCCCAGGGGAGCUGCAAACGGGCGGCUUUCGGGGGUAGAACCCGUCAGUCGAGCCUCCUCCUCGCACAAUGGACUCCGACUCCGGCUCCGGUUGCUAGUGGAAUUCAAAGGACAAAGGGGCCAAGGCACACACAGCUUAUGACAGGCACACUGACACAAUGCCCCAUAGAAAUGUUCUGAGGGGAAACCCCCGAAAACGAAGUUCGAACUUCAAAUGCCCUGCAGGAAUAAGAGAAAUCAUCAGUAUCCAUAAAAACUUUUCAAUAUCUGUGAGUUGAAUGUUAAAGUCCUGUUUAAAGCAGCGUCAGCAGGAACAACAAAAAAGCGAAAGGAUGCCAAGGAGUGCGAGCGAGAGAUGUAGAGCACUUGGCAGCAUGUUCAUGUUGCUGCUGUUGUCAUGUAGCGACAGCGUUCUCCCCUCUCUGUCGCUCUCACGCCGCUGCAGUAGCCGAAAAGUUGCCUUAUCACUUGGGCGCAUUUACAUAAAAAAACCACAAAUAAAAGUUGCAAACUAACGCAGUACCAAGGAGCAGAAGAA